AAAAUAAGGAAAUUUAGGUGCGUUUCUGUUAAAUUGUAAUU
rnacentral:tRNA from 1 species